rnacentral:rRNA from 1 species
UGGUGGAGCGAUUUGUCUGCUUAAUUGCGAUAACGAACGAGACUCUGGCCUACUAACUAGAAGAUAGUUCUUCGAGACUGUCAUACUUCUUAGAGGGAUAAGGGGAUUGAAGCCCCAAGAGAUUGAGCAAUAACA